UAGUGGAACGCUCUGGGAAGUGCGAACGUAGAGGGUGAUAUUCCCGUACACGAAAGGGCACACAUAAUGAUGACGAGUAGGGCGAGGCACGUGAAACCUUGUCUGAAUAUGGGGGGACCAUCCUCCAAGGCUAAAUACUCCUGACUGACCGAUAGUGAACCAGUACCGUGAGGGAAAGGCGAAAAGAACCCCUGUGAGGGGAGUGAAAUAGAUCCUGAAACCGCAUGCAUACAAGCAGUGGGAGCACCUUCGUGGUGUGACUGCGUACCUUUUGUAUAAUGGGUCAGCGACUUAUAUUCAGUAGCGAGGUUAACCGUAUAGGGGAGCCGUAGAGAAAUCGAGUCUUAAUAGGGCGUUUAGUUGCUGGGUAUAGACCCGAAACCAGGCGAUCUAUCCAUGAGCAGGUUGAAGGUUGGGUAACACUAACUGGAGGACCGAACCCACUGUCGUUGAAAAGCCAGGGGAUGACUUGUGGAUAGGGGUGAAAGGCUAAUCAAGCCUGGUGAUAGCUGGUUCUCCCCGAAAGCUAUUUAGGUAGCGCCUCGGACGAAUACCAUAGGGGGUAGAGCACUGUUUCGGCUAGGGGGUCAUCCCGACUUACCAAACCGAUGCAAACUCCGAAUACCUAUGAGUACUAUCCGGGAGACAGACUGCGGGUGCUAACGUCCGUAGUCAAGAGGAAAACAAUCCAGACCGCCAGCUAAGGCCCCAAAAUCAUAGUUAAGUGGGAAACGAUGUGGGAAGGCAUAGACAGCUAGGAGGUUGGCUUAGAAGCAGCCACCCUUUAAAGAAAGCGUAAUAGCUCACUAGUCGAGUCGGCCUGCGCGGAAGAUGUAACGGGGCUAAAACUAUGUGCCGAAGCUGCGGAUGUAUACUUUGUAUACGUGGUAGGGGAGCGUUCUGUAAGCCGAUGAAGGUGUGUUGAGAAGCAUGCUGGAGGUAUCAGAAGUGCGAAUGCUGACGUGAGUAACGACAAAACGGGUGAAAAACCCGUUCGCCGAAAGACCAAGGGUUCCAGUCCAACGUUAAUCGGGGCUGGGUGAGUCGACCCCUAAGGCGAGGCCGAAAGGCGUAGUCGAUGGGAAAAUGGUUAAUAUUCCAUUACUUCUGUGUAAUGCGAUGAGAGGACGGAGAAGGCUAAAUCAGCCUGGCGUUGGUUGUCCAGGUGAAAGGAUGUAGGCAUGUAUCUUAGGCAAAUCCGGGGUACUCUAUGCUGAGAUCUGAUAGCAAGCUGUACUUGUACAGCGAAGUGGUUGAUGCCAUGCUUCCAGGAAAAGUCUCUAAGCUUCAGUUACACAGGAAUCGUACCCGAAACCGACACAGGUGGUCAGGUCGAGUAGACCAAGGCGCUUGAGAGAACUCUGCUGAAGGAACUAGGCAAAAUGGUACCGUAACUUCGGGAGAAGGUACGCUGUUGUUGGUGAUGGAACU
rnacentral:rRNA from 1 species